GACGUAGGGCGCAAGCGUUGUCCGGAUUUAUUGGGCGUAAAGAGCUCGUAGGCGCCUGUCGCGUCGACCGUGAAAACCCGCAGCUCAACUGCGGGCUUGCGGUCGAUACGGGCAGGCUGGAGUUCGGUAGGGGAGACUGGAAUUCCUGGUGUAGCGGUGAAAUGCGCAGAUAUCAGGAGGAACACCGGUGGCGAAGGCAGCUCGCUGGGACGGUACUGACACUGAGACGCGAAAGCGUGGGGAGCAAACAGG
rnacentral:rRNA from 1 species